CUCCGCCAACGGUUGGGCUUCACUUUGGUGACGAUCUGCCAUCUUUCACUCCUUUCCAGAACAGCUGCCUCAAAGCUCCUCACAGCCCUGCACACCCCUCCUCCUGGGCCGCCCUUCCCGCCUUCCGGAGGGAGAAUGCAUUCCCUUGACUCCGCUCAGCAAACCUAGGAUGGGGACAUGGGACUCGUGCGCAGCUGGGGAAGUCAGGGACGAAAAUACAGCCACUGCCCUCAAGGAACUUCUGAUUUUGUGGGAGAUACUGACAGGGCUGUAAAACAAGCAAACACACAAAGAAGACUCUGCGACAGAAACUAGAUGUCCACUCGCCAGCCAGGUCUGAUGUGUGAACCACCUCUACGGUAGGCUGGCUGGAGCCCUGCUGAAAGGUGGCUCUUCCAUCCAGGCCACAGUGACGAGAGAAGGAAAUCCCGGCUGCACCCCUCCUCCUCCCACCACCCUGCAGCCUCCUCCGUGCCAAGAACAGGGUGCCUGCUGUGAUUCCGAGGGACCGGGUGUGCUGGGGAUUGGUCUGUGCAGGGGCUGGGAGGAGCUCCUUCUCACACGCGGCUGCCUCGGGGCUUCACCCACGGGGUCGGGGAUGGGGUGGGGGCAAGUCUCACCAUCAUCGUUAUCAGCAUCAGCAUCAUGGGGCCAAAAUGAAAGUGUAUCAUGAAAAGUGUGUCUUUUAUCCAGAUAGACCAGUCAGUCAACAAUCAUUCUCUGAGAAUCUCCUGUCACCUCUUUGUUGUGCCCUCAGUGCCUGGACAGAAGUGUUCCACUUGAUGCUGAUCAAAAGGAAGAUGGGCUGUGGAUAAAGCUGACACCUGGAGAGGAAGGCAGAGCUGAGAGAACAGCAGAAUAUGAUGCUGGAGCCCAGAUCAUGCAAUGCCUGAAACUUACCCUACUCCAGUUAUCCAUGAGGAAACUGAGGCAGUGAGAGGUUAAGUAAUUUGCCCAAGGCCACACAACGAGCCAAGAAAUGAUAUUUGAACCCAAGUUGUUUGUGGCCAUGAGGUUUCCAAGGAAUGUAUGUACCCAAGAAGGCUCUGACAAGCAAAUGGCAGAGAAGGGGAGCAUAAAAUUAUGACAUGUGUUACAAUCAGCGAUGAAAUACAGGCACCUACUUCCCAUAAUGAGAGGCUGUGAGAGGACCAGAUGGGACAAUGGGUCUGAAACACUCACCACAGGGCCUGACAGAGAGCAGUGAUGGUAUCGAUGUCGAUGGUUAAAAAUCUGAUUAAUAAUAAUGGACCUACUUGGCUGGUAUUACGAUGUGUAACUGUUGCCCAGCUUUCUACGAGUAACCCUUCUUCUGACCCUUCACUGAAUGAUCCUGAAGGAGGAGAAACCAUAAUAAGUGCUUAUUUCUUUUAUAGCUCUCAGAAAGAUCAAUAAAAUCAGCUGACCAAUGAA